rnacentral:rRNA from 1 species
AGCAGCCGCGGUAAUUCCAGCUCCAAUAGCGUAUAUUAAAGUUGUUGCAGUUAAAAAGCUCGUAGUUGAAUUUUGGGCUUGGCCGAUUGGUCCGUUCUUGUAGCGAGUACUGGUCGGUUGGGCCUCACCGCUUGGUGAUGCGUAAUGUCCUUUAUUGGGUGUUGCGAGUAGCCAAGACCUUUACCUUGAAAAAAUUAGAGUGUUUAAAGCAGGCAUAUGCCAGAAUACAUUAGCAUGGAAUAAUAGAAUAGGACAACGAUUCUAUUUUGUUGGUUUCUAGGACCGUUGUAAUGAUUAAUAGGGAUAGUUGGGGGCAUUAGUAUUCAAUUGUCAGAGGUGAAAUUCUUGGAUUUAUUGAAGACUAACUACUGCGAAAGCAUUUGCCAAGGAUGUUUUCAUUAAUCAAGAACGAAAGUUAGGGAUCGAAGACGAUCAGAUACCGUCGUAGUC